GAUGAACGCUAGCUACAGGCUUAACACAUGCAAGUCGAGGGGCAGCACUAGGUAGCAAUACUGAGGUGGCGACCGGCGCACGGGUGCGUAACGUGUAUCAAACCUUCCCGUUACUCUUGGAUAGCCUUCCGAAAGGGAGAUUAAUACAAGAUGGUAUUCAAAUUCCGCAUGUUAUUUGAACUAAAGAUUUAUCGGUAACGGAUGGGGAUGCGUGACAUUAGAUAGUAGGCGGGGUAACGGCCCACCGAGUCUACGAUGUCUAGGGGUUCUGAGAGGAAGGUCCCCCACACUGGAACUGAGACACGGUCCAGACUCCUACGGGAGGCAGCAGUGAGGAAUAUUGGUCAAUGGUCGGAAGACUGAACCAGCCAAGUAGCGUGAAGGAUGAAGGUUCUAUGGAUUGUAAACCUCUUUUAUACGGGAAUAAAACCUCCCACGUGUGGGAGCUUGUAUGUACCGUAUGAAUAAGCAUCGGCUAACUCCGUGCCAGCAGCCGCCGUAAUAC
rnacentral:rRNA from 1 species